rnacentral:rRNA from 1 species
CGUUAAUCGGAUUUACUGGGCGUAAAGCGUGCGUAGGCGGCUUCUUAAGUCGGAUGUGAAAUCCUGAGCUUAACUUAGGAAUUGCAUUCGAUACUGGGAAGCUAGAGUAUGGGAGAGGAUGGUAGAAUUCCAGGUGUAGCGGUGAGAUGCGUAGAGAUCUGGAGGAAUACCGAUGGCGAAGGCAGCCAUCUGGCCUAAUACUGACGCUGAGGUACGAAAGCAUGGGGAGCAAACAGGAUUAGAUACCCUGGUAGUCCAUGCCGUAAACGAUGUCUACUAGCCGUUGGGGCCUUUGAGGCUUUAGUGGCGCAGCUAACGCGAUAAGUAGACCGCCUGGGGAGUACGGUCGCAAGACUAAAACUCAAAUGAAUUGACGGGGGCCCGCACAAGCGGUGGAGCAUGUGGUUUAAUUCGAUGCAACGCGGAGAACCUUACCUGGUCUUGACAUAGUAAGAACUUUCCAGAGAUGGAUUGGUGCCUUCGGGAACUUACAUACAGGUGCUGCAUGGCUGUCGUCAGCUCGUGUCGUGAGAUGUUGGGUUAAGUCCCGCAACGAGCGCAACCCUUUUCCUUAUUUGCCAGCGAGUAAUGUCGGGAACUUUAAGGAUACUGCCAGUGACAAACUGGAGGAAGGCGGGGACGACGUCAAGUCAUCAUGGCCCGUACGACCAGGGCUACACACGUGCUACAAUGGUCGGUACAAAGGGUUGCUACCUAGCGAUAGGAUGCUAAUCUCAAAAAGCCGAUCGUAGUCCGGAUUGGAGUCUGCAACUCGACUCCAUGAAGUCGGAAUCGCUAGUAAUCGCGGGUCAGAAUGCCGCGGUGAAUACGUUCCCGGGCCUUGUACACACCGCCC